GGCUGGUCUGAGUGCAAUGGCAUUUAGGACUAAUUGAUCACAACCAGUUACAGAUUUCUUUGUUCCUUCUUCACUCCCACUGCUUCACUCCGCUAGCCAGAA
ensembl:Y_RNA Y_RNA Y RNA